AGAACGAACGUUAGCGGCGCGCUUAACACAUGCAAGUCGCACGAGAAAGGGCUUCGGCCCCGGUAAAGUGGCGCACGGGUGAGUAACACGUGGGUAAUCUUCCCUCGAGCAGAGGAUAACGUUCCGAAAGGGACGCUAAUACUGUAUAAGACCACGCCCUCGAAAGAGAGUGGGGUAAAAGCUGGCCUCUAUUUAUAAGCUAGCACUUGAGGAUGAGCCCGCGGCCCAUCAGGUAGUUGGUAGGGUAAUCGGCCUACCAAGCCUAAGACGGGUAAC
rnacentral:rRNA from 1 species